CUGCUUGCAGGGGUACUCGAGUGGCGAACGGGUGAGUAACACGUGGGUGAUCUGCCUUGUACUUCGGGAUAAGCCUGGGAAACUGGGUCUAAUACCGGAUAGGACCAAGCUUUAGUGUGUGUGGUGGAAAGUUUUUUCGGUACAAGAUGAGCCCGCGGCCUAUCAGCUUGUUGGUGGGGUAAUGGCCUACCAAGGCGACGACGGGUAGCCGGCCUGAGAGGGUGUACGGCCACAUUGGGACUGAGACACGGCCCAGACUCCUACGGGAGGCAGCAGUGGGGAAUAUUGCACAAUGGGCGCAAGCCUGAUGCAGCGACGCCGCGUGAGGGAUGACGGCCUUCGGGUUGUAAACCUCUUUCGCUAGGGAAGAAGCCACUUGUGGUGACGGUACCUGGAUAAGAAGCACCGGCUAACUACGUGCCAGCAGCCGCGGUAAUACGUAGGGUGCAAGCGUUGUCCGGAAUUACUGGGCGUAAAGAGCUCGUAGGUGGUUUGUCGCGUCGUCUGUGAAAUCCCGGGGCUUAACUCCGGGCGUGCAGGCGAUACGGGCAUAACUGGAGUGCUGUAGGGGAGACUGGAAUUCCUGGUGUAGCGGUGAAAUGCGCAGAUAUCAGGAGGAACACCGAUGGCGAAGGCAGGUCUCUGGGCAGUAACUGACGCUGAGGACGAAAGCAUGGGUAGCAACAGGAUUAAUACCCUGGUGUCCAUGCCGUAAACGGUGGGCGCU
rnacentral:rRNA from 1 species